AUAAGAAGAAAAACACUGAGGAUACAAGAGAGAAGAAACAGGAGCUAAGUCCCAAGGAAAAGAAGAUACCAAGUCACAAAACUCCUCCCUUGAGAAAACACUCUACUACCAACAUUCUUUCAUUGGUAGUAGUAGUAGAUAUUAGCAUUUCAUCCCAUGGAGGAUUGUGUUGAGAUAAUCAAGAAGCAAGCUUCCUGUGUCCAAAUCCUCCUUCUUCAGAAAAACCAAGGGAGAAUGACCAGGAUAUUUCACCCCCUGGAAUAUCUGAAGGGGUUAUGCCCUUUAGUGGUGUGGAGAAAAUGAAGGAAAAAAGUGAACCAAGAACUGAACAAU